rnacentral:rRNA from 1 species
AACGGCGAGUGAGCGGCAACAGCUCAAAUUUGAAAUCUGGCCCUAGGCCCGAGUUGUAAUUUGCAGAGGAUGCUUUUGGUGCGGUGCCUUCCAAGUUCCCUAGAACGGGACGCCAGAGAGGGUGAGAGCCCCGUACAGUUGGACACCAAGCCUUUGUAAAGCUCCUUCGACGAGUCGAGUAGUUUGGGAAUGCUGCUCAAAAUGGGAGGUAUAUUUCUUCUAAAGCUAAAUACCGGCCAGAGACCGAUAGCGCACAAGUAGAGUGAUCGAAAGAUGAAAAGCACUUUGAAAAGAGGGUUAAACAGCACGUGAAAUUGUUAAAAGGGAAGCGCUUGUGACCAGACUUGCGUCCGGUGAAUCACCCAGCUCUCGCGGCUGGGGCACUUCGCCGGCUCAGGCCAGCAUCAGCUCGCUGUCGGGGACAAAAGCUUCAGGAACGUAGCUCUCUUCGGGGAGUGUUAUAGCCUGUUGCACAAUACCCUUCGGCGGGCUGAGGUACGCGCUCCGCAAGGAUGCUGGCAUAAUGGUCAUCAGCGACCCGUCUUGAAACACGGACCAAGGAGUCAACCUUAUGUGCGAGUGUUCGGGUGUCAAACCCCUACGCGUAAUGAAAGUGAACGCAGGUGAGAGCUUCGGCGCAUCAUCGACCGAUCCUGAUGUUCUCGGAUGGAUUUGAGUAAGAGCAUAUAGGGUUGGACCCGAAAGAAGGUGAACUAUGCGUGUAUAGGGUGAAGCCAGAGGAAACUCUGGUGGAGGCUCGCAGCGGUUCUGACGUGCAAAUCGAUCGUCAAAUAUGCGCAUGGGGGCGAAAGACUAAUCGAACCUUCUAGUAGCUGGUUUCCGCCGAAGUUCCCCUCAGGGAUGA